UCCACUCCUAUUUUAUAUUUAGUUUUCACCUUGCACAUGUUACACCAUUACUCUAGAGAAAAAUUAGAAUGAAUUAUAGGGCUGGUGACUUACCAAUCUAUCCUUCCAUCAAACAAUUUUAAAGAAUUUUAUUCGACUCUUGCCUUUUCAACCAGAGCCCACGAUGAUGGUGAGCAAUUCCUAAGAUCCCCUGAAUUGCACAUUUCCCAUUGUUUGGAUUUUUCCUAAGUUACUUUCAUCAAUUCAACUACAUUUAUAAAUGAAAACUAAAUCUUUGAAAAUAUGCAACAGGAAUCGACGGAGAAAUGCAUACAAAGCUGUUAAGUCUUUCAAUUGUUCUAUGUCUAUGUCUAUUGGAACGGAAAUCUCAAGCGCAAAGAAGUUAUGACUGGAGUUAUGAGUCAUGCUGUACAUAUUUCUACAAUAAAUCCUAAGGAUUACCUAUGAUUUGUUAUGAAAAUGUUGUGGACGUAAUACUUUUCUUUUUUUUGAUAGUAAGGUGAAACAUUUAUUCCAUAUAUUUUAGUUUUUCUUAGUAAGAAUUUGUUCCAUAAAUCUACAUACGAACAUAUGUUUUCAAUGC